GGGUUUCCUGACCAGGUGGGCGUUCUUCUUUUCAUCAAUGAAUCGCCAUGGAUACCCUCCCACAUGCCGAGGACAAUUAAGCCCAAAUCAGUUACACCUGUGCAGUGCAGAGGUUUUAUAUGCUCUACCCCAGAGUUUGAUAACACAAGGCUGUUGCUGCUGUGUGUUGCAUUCUGCACGUUCACAGCUAACACAUUUAUGAGUUCUGUUUGAACCAUGAUCCAUUAAUGUUAAUCUAAAACAAUAUAAUUGAAUUGGUUGUAGAGGAAACCAUAGGCGUACGUGAUUACCAGGAUCUUCAUCCGUUUGUGUUGCUGGUGGAAAACACUAUCACUUGAAUGCACCCUGCAGCGGUGGUGAUGGACGGCAGAGAGCCUCACAAUACCUACACAUCACUUGACACUAGAGGCCAGGUUGGUCCCAUAUUGUUGGUGACCUGGACGGUGAGCAAAGACCACAAGAACAGGAGGAAUCCCGCACCAGGGAGAGCAACGAUAGAACCUAGGAACAACCAUGGAAGCACUGUUGAGAAAACUAUUGGAGGCGAACAGGGCACAGCUAUAGCCAGUAGCCGGGAGCUGCUGGGAGUGCUGACAGCCGGUCAUGUCGGCAGGGCUGCAGGUGCGGCAGUGCCCUGCCCUGGGCCCCAGCAGGUUUGUCUCGCCAUGGCAAGAGACGCAGCCGCCGCCGCCGCAAGAGACGCCGCCGCCGCCGCCGCAAGAGACGCCUUGAUCACCUAGAAGCACGGAUUGGGCUGAGGGAAAGAGAUGGGUGGAAAUAAUUGUACUGUUUCAUAUAAGAGGUGGAUGACCCUUUUCCCACCCUGGUUGGAUUUUGGAGGUGAAUAAACCAUUCGGCUUUGGACCUGCUCUCGUGUCAUAAUAUCUGUUCAACUUGGUAGCAUGGAAACCCCACACCCACUGGCCCGCUACACUAUAUUAAGUUAAUCUUUAGUGUGUCUAUUUUGUGUCUGUUUAUCUUUAUGGUGUGUGUGUCUGUAUAUAUGUAUAUAUGUGUAUAUAUAUGUAUAUAUAUAUGUGUGUGUGUAUGUAUGUGUGUGUG
ensembl:lncRNA